rnacentral:lncRNA from 1 species
CACGAUAUAGUCAAUAUAUUAUGUUUUUUUUUCCCCACACUGUAGAUGGCCUUUAUUUUCAUAACAUUUAGGUAGUCAGAUAUCAAAGAGCUCCACUCAAAUUAGGUGGGGAGGGAGGGUCUCCUAUGGUUGACCAUAAGCAAGUAAAUUUUACAGUUAGAUUUCUUUUACCUGACUAGGUUUUUUAUCUGGAUGCCAUGAUGCUUGUUUAUUGCCUACAAUGUUUUGGACUAGAGGGGACCUCAUAAGACUUUUCCUACAACUCAAGGUUCUAAAAGGCGUAAGGCGUGGCAAGCCUAAAGGCUCGUAGGCGUAAUAAGGCUUUUCCUAUUUCCAAUAUAUUUAAUUAUUAUGGACCAAUUAAUAAAUAAAAUAACUCAUAUCUUGCAAAUUUAUAGGAACUCAUACAUAUUUUUCAAGUUUCCAACAAACCAUAAUUUUCAAAGUCAUUAAUACUCUAAAUCAAUAAUGUUUUGUUCGUGGACAUGGAAAGCUAUGUUCGUUGAAGGGAUUUGGGUUAGGGUGGGGUUUUUGGUGGACUUAUUUCCAUUUUAAGUUUUAGCAGUGGUUGAGCAUUUGUUGAGUUUGAUUUCAAAAGAAGAAAAUCACUUGUAAAAAAAGAGGGAAAAAAAAAGAAAAGGCACGCCUUACGCAGUGUAAGUAGAGUUGACUAUCUAUUUUCGUUCCUAGGCGAGCCUUUUAGAAUACUGAUACGGCUUGCCUACCCUUCACGCUCAUUUUUUUCUUCUGUUUCAACUUGGCAUACCAUUUGCUCUUUCAGAAAUCUGUUUAGUACUUGCAUUUUUCAUACAACCAGUUAAUAUAUUGGUGCUGUUAAACCUAACCCGUAUCUAGCACAAACUUCUAUCAUCAACUGAAAUCAAUUGUUUUCGGGAGGAUAUUUGUUCGUUUGUUACUGACUUACUGUUAAAAUUUACCUCAGUUAUAUCCGGAUUCGGAGUUUUAACAUUUAUUUUCCUUUGUUCUUUUCGAAAGAUAGAAGGAUAUCUGGCCGAUACCCUUCCCUCUUGUUAUAUCCCCCUUCUAUUGUAUACCUUCAACGGAACCUCAAGUCGUUAUUUGAUAUUCAUAUGAUACAUCAUACUGCCGAUCAUUAUUAUAGAACUGUUCUUCCACUUAUCUUAUUGAUAAUUGCCUGUGGAUAGGUAGGAAUGAACUGAUGCUUGGAAAUACUUUUAUAGCCCAAAAUAAUAUGCAGGCUCUGAAUAAUGAGGUUCCUCCGCAGGUCAGCAUGCUUCCUCUCGAUUAUUUUCUUAGCUUUUAUAUUUUGUUGUCAUGAGUAAUUUAUGUUGAGUCAACUUUUUGAUAGACAGCCAAUGAGUUAAUGUUUUCUUGACAAUAAUUUCACCUUAACGAGCUAGCUUCACUAGUUCUACGAAAAUGAUGAUCUCAUCUGCUAAUAUGAUCGCCUGGUGUAUGGUAGUUUUAGUUAUAACUAGUAUAAGUAUAAUUACUUCCUGAAGACCUUUGUUUUAAAUGGCGUCUUCUGACAUUUCGUUGAACAUUAUAUCCUUACCUCAUAAUGUAUUAAUUGCAUUAGUUAAAGCUUGAAACUUCAAAACAUAGGGAUAGGGAUUAUCCAUGCUGCAAAUACUUUUUAGCCUGACAAUUUUUCAUAAAGAGAAUAUCUUCCUUUUUAUCUGCACUAGCAUCAAAUGAUCAAUUCCUGUCAUGAUAUUAUGUACCAUAUUUUGCCAUAGGUUGAUGUAUUACACUUUGCUUGUUCAGGAGUUCAAUCGAAGAGUUUUGGAGGGUUUUCAAGUUACCCCACUUUGGCACCAAGGGUUUAUCCGCGAUGAUGGGAGGUAAUCCUUUCUCCCAUAACUUUCUAUAAUUCCGUCAUGCAUUAUAUUCUACAUCAGAUGUGAGUAUUUUCUUAGAUUUUGUUCAAGCGACCACUAGAAUAGCAAUACUUGUCAGUGAUAGUUGUGUUUUUUCUUAGUUUAAAUGAUUCUACGUUUUAUUAAAUCUUUAUAUGGAUAGAUAGUCUUUUAUAAUAUUAAGAACCUAUAUUCACUAUUCAUUUGUUUAUUUAUUUUCUCAUUUUCUGGUUGGCAUUGGGUUCAUUCUGUGUAGGGCGGACACUUUAACUAGGGUAGCUUAUUUAUGUUCGACAUGUGUUGAUACCGAUCUUCCUCGGACACUCUACCAUAAUUAUUUUUCUUUUUUCAUUAAAAAUGUUAUAUAUUUUUAACCCUAGGUUAUUAGUAAAUAACAAAUAGGUACUAUAUUCAAAAGAUUCCAACAAGAAACAUUAAUAACAAGUAUAAAACUAAAUUUAUAUUAAUAUAAAUUAAGAAUUUUAAAGAAUUUAAUCGUCGUUUUGGUGACGUGUUGUAUCAGUAUUUUUUUGAAAAAUUGUAUGUCGGUAUAUCUGACACAUCGUGUUGGACACACGUGUCCGUGUCACGUGCAUCAUAGGGUUCAUUUGUCAGUGUAAUAAUGAUAAGCCCAUGAUUGAAUCAGAAUUCAAUACUAGCCUAAACUCUUUCUUUUUGAACUCUGUAUACUGUCAAAAUAUUUUCUAUACUUUCUGGACUUGAAUUGACCAUUAUACUUUGGUUUGUUGAUAUGGCUUUGGUAUAUAGGACACCUUAUGCAGAAACUGUUAAGACUGCACGGUGGGAGUACAGCACACGCCCCCUUUAUGGAUGGGGAAAUGUUGGGUCAAAGCAAAAGUCAACGGCUGGAUGGCUUGCGGCAUUUCCUGUUUUUGAACCUCAUUGGCAGAUAUGCAUGGCAGGUGGACUUUCAACAGGUAUUAAAGAUGUUACCAUCAUCUCUUUUGCUUGAAAAGUUGCUAAAAUUGAGUUUGAUGAUUUCCUGAUUGUCUACUGCUUUAAUAAAGAUGCACUUGCUUCUAUUUGCAGCUACUAUUAGACAUAAAGAUGCACUUGAUUUACAAAAAUUACUAUCCUUUAAGAUUAGAGAGUAUGAUGACGAGAUAUUUAUGUAUUUCUGACAACAAUUCAUUUUGAGUAACAAAGUUUACCGUCCUAGUGUAUCCUACUAGAUAACAGCAUUCGAUUCAUACACAGUAGUGUUCAUCUGAGAUGAAUUGUAUAACGAGUAUAACACCAAUUAUCCACAAGGGCAAGGAACAAAUAUAGGAUUAAGGGAAUCAUAGGUUAAUCUACAUCAUGCAAUUUAGAAGGAAAGGUCAUGCAAGACAAUGAUCAAACUGAUACUUAUCAACUGCCCUGUUAAAAGGAAGGGGUAAAAAAAAAAAAAAAAAAAAAAAAAAAAAAAAAAAGAAACUGACCUAUAUAAAUGUCCUAUCCUUCGGAAGCUGUAAUAUUGUUACAAUCUGUAGACAAUAACAUCUCAUUCAAUGCCUGUUGCAUUUCGGUUUUCUUUUACUCAAAUUAUUUUGCUGUAAAUAAGAUAGAAGACCUUGAUUUUAUUUUAUUUUCCUUGUUUCUUCGGAGCAGAUAUUUACUUUCUGAUUUCUUCCUGCAGGUUGGAUUGAAUGGGAUGGUGAAAGGUUUGAAUUCCAAAAUGCCCCUUCAUAUUGUGAAAAGAACUGGGGUGGUGCCUUCCCUAGAAAGUGGUUCUGGGUAUAUUGUUAUCCCUUCUUUUGGCGUCUUCCUGUAUCGUAGGCACUAUCACAGUCAGCUCUUUAUUGGUUCAAUUUCUGCAGCGUGUGUACUCUUAAUUCGGGUCUUAAUUAAAUAGCAUCAGAAAUUGAUGGUACUUACAUCGUUAAGAUGCACUUAUCAGCAUAGUGCCAUUUAUCUAUUAUCAUGUCUUUUGCUAUUAAGCCCCCAUUUGAGCCCCAUUAUUUCUCAUUACAUUAAAUUAAAUUUUUCUCUCUUGUACUUUUAACCACACAAUUUUCAAUAAAAUAAUAUUACACAAAUCAAAAUUUUUUCAACCACUCAUUUUUCAAAAAAAACACUAUUCAUCUCAUUAUAAUGCCAAAUAAUGGAGCUCAAACACACCCUAAAUCCUUGGUUGUCGCUGCUUUUAUCCACACCAUAAAAGAGAGAUCUCUUUAGGCAUUCAUUUGUAAGUGAAUGUCUUUUCACGGAGGCAGUGACUCGAAUUAUUUGAGAUUCAUGACGUUUCGAUUAUGUUUACAUCCUUAAAGCCUGGUCUGUGCUACAGGUGCAAUGUAAUGUCUUUGAAGGUGCAAGUGGAGAAAUUGCUUUGACUGUUGGUGGUGGAUUGAGACAGCUCCCAGGAUUGACUGAGAACUUUGAAAAUGCNNNNNNNNNNNNNNNAUACCAUUUUGAGUCAAGCUUGCUCUGCUGUUCUGAUUGGUUUCUAAAUCAAAUCCCUUUAUGCAGGUGGAGUUGGUGGCAACAACAAAGGAUGUGGGUACAACACUGCGAGCCCCCACCUCAGAGGCUGGCCUUGCUCCAGCUUGCAAGGAUACUUGUUUUGCUGACUUAAGUCUCCGAUUAUGGGAAAAACGAUAUGAUGGCAGUGAAGGAAAGGUACUGCUAUUCCUCCAUGGUUGUCACUUCAGGAAGUGUCAGUACUUCAGAAGCUACUAUGUAAAAUGCUGUCUUCCUGUCAUCAAUUAUUUGGCACACGUCUUUGCUAGGCCAAAACGGGUUAAACCUAAUUUGUUGGAGAAGACAUUAUCCACACAUUCAAACAUGUCCAAAUUCUGUUCUCCCACCAUAUCACUCUCCAUUUGGAACGUAACUGUCCUCGUCUCAUGGUCCAGUUCAUUCAUAGCUUGUUUAGUGGAACUUAUAAGAUCUCCUUAUAUUUCUUAUAAGUAAUUCUGUUUUUAUUAUGUACGUUUUUGGUGUUUUUAACUUGAAACAAAACUCCAAACCUUGAACUCACCAACUUUUUCCCUGAUGGAAAUCACUGACGUUGAUAGAUUGAUUGUCAAGAAUUUCGUCAAGGGAUAACUCUUUAAGUACCUUGAGUUCUCAGUCGACACUUCGACACUAUCCAUGCCUACCUCAAAUGUUGGAAUAGGCAAUUUGUUCUUUUCCCUUGAAAAAGAUAGAAUGUAAAAAGAAUUUAUUACAAUAUUAUGCUAAACAAUCCAUCUAAUAGAAUAGCUGUAACAGCCUUUAUUUUGUGAUACAGAGAGCUUCCAACUUUCCAAAUUUACUAAUAAUUUUUUACCAUUUUCCUUUUGGUUGAUAGGUUAUACUUGAUGUGACAAGUAACAUGGCAGCCGUAGAAGUUGGAGGAGGACCAUGGUUCAACACAUGGAAAGGCAAGACAUAUACACCGGAAACUAUAAAACGAGCUCUUACGCUUCCUGUUGAUGUGGAAGGGAUAGUUGGUUUGGUUCCUUUCCUUAAACCCCCUGGCUUGUAGAUGAUUUGGAUUAAUGCACACCUGCAGCACCAUAAAUGAAUCAAGAGGUAGCAUUGGGUCCUGUUUCUAAUGUCUAUACUUAGGUGUCAAUGCCAUUGUAUGAUACAUUGUUUAUAUUGUUGUGUAAAUAUUGCAAUAUACUGAGCAACAAAAAUGUAUGAAGACUAGUUGAGUUUUCAUUAAUAUUUCUGUCUGAGUUGGUGUUUCUUGGAAAGUUCAAGACUAGGUUACUCUAAGUCUUGGAGAGUUAAUUAUAUUAUCUCUGUUCUGAACCAUAUGGACUUUACCAAAAAUUACCUGCCCAGAAUAAAUAUAAAUACCUUCAUUUUUAGUUCCAUUUUUGUUCAUGAACUGGCUAUUGCUAUGAUUGAAUCAGACUGCUAUAAUGUUGUACAACCAGUGGACAAACCGUCUCUCUAUGCUAUGCAAUUGUAGUACUGCUACCCAACCUAGGUCAUUGACAGGUUUUAAAAAUAGGGGGAUGCAUGGCGCAGCAUCAUUGGAUAGAUAAGGGGAAAAAAUUAUCCAUGUUGGCUGUACCUGUUAAAGCCCGUUUUUAAUCCCCGUCUGAGUAGCAUUACUCGUGCAAUUGAAGGAGUCAUAUGCUUAGAAUUUCAGAUUUAUUUAGUUCUUUUCCUUCUUUAGUAAGCAACUUAAAAACAAGACUCGUCUCUCAAAAGCCGACUCGUUUUUCAAUGAACCGCGGAAUGCAUAAAGGAAUGCGCAUCGCUCAACCCAGUUUCAUGCUGGAGGCGUUUUUGGUGAUCUCGACCGGGGACAACUAGAUCGAAGGAUUGAAGGAGACAUAUGCUUAGAAUUUCAGAUUUAUUUAGGGGGAUGUCCUCAAUUGAGAUUGCAAUUAAUUUUAAAAGUCAUUCUAAAUUUAUGUAUCUUCAAUUGAGAUUUUAUUGAAUUUUAAUUAAAUUCAUUAAAGUUUAGGUGUACCCAAUUGAAAUUUUAAUGAAAUCUUUUAAAAUUUAAGUAUUCUCAGUAAUUAGUGGAUUUAUAAAGAUUUCAUUGAUAGAAAGAUUUUAAAAGAUUUGGAUGGAUUUCAAGUUAAAAAAUACAUAUAAGUAAAUUUUUUAAAAUUUCAUCAUAUUUAAUGAGAUUCUUAUUAAAUUUGUAAGAAUCUAUUUAAAUCCACCAAAUUCAUUAGAAUUUAUAAUUAUUUAAAAUUCAUCAAAAUCUUAGUUGAGAACACUCAUGUAGUUCAUUUCCUUCCUUAAUGUUCUCUUUCGUUGGGCGUGUAACUAACUGUGUUGUUCACACCAUCGCGAAGAACGCUCUCUUAUAUCCCCAUAACUUGGCCUGGUUUGAGGAGUCGUGGAACUUGUAAUUCGUGAUAUUGCUGAAAGUUGGAGCUCUUGUCAUUCUUUAUUCUGAACUUGGCCUAUUUUAUUUAGAGGAAACGAGUCCAAUCAAGAUUGUAAUUCAGUGUUAUCUCUAACCAUUUAAAGAUUUAGACGAUACCGUCCCCAAGUAAAAAUCUAUAGUGUUUUAUACUGUGCUUGUGAAAUUACUGCCUACUCUAAUAAAAGGAUAUAUUCUUACGACAUUUUUAAUAAAGUUUGCUUUGAAUCAAGGAACUUUAGUCACUUUUACCAGGGCCUGUGAAACUGCAGAUUCUCCCCUAUACCACUUUUACAAAGAGGUGAGAUGAAAAGAUAACUGAAGCAAAGCACCUCUACAAGUUUCAUCAUUUCAAUCAGUAAAAAAGUUUAUUAAAGUAGACAAGUGCCCAUCCUAACCUACCCUAUAAGCCGAAAAUAGCAUUUGUCAUUAGUGCACAAUUGUUUUCUUAAAACAUGAUUACUUAAAGCAAUAUGAUUUAGGAGAGUCCCACUUUCUUGAUUGCCUAAAAGUUAGAAAACUACAAUAGAUCCUCAAUGUAGAUAAAAAAAUAAUCACGCUUUCACUUCAUAUAGUUGCUUGACUUUGAGGGGUUGUUUUUGUUUUGAGUUGUGUUCAAAAGAGUGGUUGUAUACCGAUCAAUGUUAUCAUUUAUUCUAGUCGAAACCCUGUUCUCUAUGGAUCCUUUACCACAUAGUGCACGAUGAUUUUUAUUUUCUCGAUGUGAAUAUCUAUUCAAAGAGUGUAUUUCCCAUUAGCUAGAAUCAAAAUACAGGAGAAUAUGACCAACCUCCCAAUCCCACAAUGUACGGAUGAUAGCAAUGAAUCAAGAAAGUGCACAAUAUGCUCUGACCUUGAUUUUCCCUACUUUUUAGGAGGAGAUGACGAAUCAAAUUUUCAUACACGCACCCACACCCGUAUAGACCUCAGCUUCCUCUUCAGGUUGUAAUACUCGACAUUACCCUCAAUGAUGCAAGCUAGCUAAGAAGCAUGGACACGUACCAGAACACGUGUAGGAGUGUCACGACUACCUAUAUUCUACUUGAGAGAGAUUCUCAAGAGCAUGAUUUCCACUAGAGUCCGGCAACUUAAGACUUGCUAAAUAUACUUUUAAAGUAUAUUCUUGCUGACCGCUGAUUAUAGUUCAGGGAAACAUGUAAUGGAGGGCCCUAUUUUUUGACUUUAAACAGUGAUAAUGGGGAGAAAAAGGAUUCCUUAGUCAUAAUUAAGCCCGCCGCUCAAGAAAUUUAUAGCCUUUUAUGCACAUAUAAAGCGGAAAAAAAAGAAAAAAAGAAAGAAUGGAUAUGGAAAUUAAAGCAGACACUGAGAAAUUGGAAGACAUGAUUUAUCUCAACUUUAUUUGAGACCUUUCAGGUAUAAAGAAAACAAAAAUGUACUUCCACUCAGAAUCAUUCUUUUGAUUUUAUUCACUUAAUAAAUUAGCUUCUUAGUAUAUAAAGAUCAGAUUAUUUCUCCUUCCCUACAUCAUCUUCCUCUGAAGCUUGUUUUCAUCAAGUGGUAUAGACAAAACACAUCAAGAGUAAGUCUAGUGAUCAAAAUUUCAGCUUAAUUACAAUGAGUAAAAGUUGAUAAGCAAGAACCUACCAAGUUAUUUUUGUACUUUAUGACUGUUAACAGUGUUCAAAUGCUCCGGUGGCUCGGAAUUCAAGUCAAAUAGGCUGGAAAACAUUGAGGAAGACAAUGAUGCAAGUUGGCUGCCAGCAAUGUGCCCCCCUCCGGAAACUCCAACAGAGUCCAUGGAGUUCUUGGCUAGAUCAUGGAGUCUGUCUGCAAAGGAACUGUCGAAUGCUCUUUGCCAUGUCCAAGUCGUGAAGCCAUCUUCAUGCUCUCCGGGCGGUUCUGCUCGAGCUGACAAUGGAAGCUCUUUGCUCCCCCUGCAGGAACCUGUACGUAUUUCAAAUUUUAUCAUUCCAAUUUAGUACUCCUGUGAACAGUAAAAGCAUGCUUGAUACAUAGUAUUCAACAAUAUUAAGAGUACAAUAAACAAGAUUUUAGAAUACUAUUGUGUAAUGUCAAAUCUACCUCAAAGAACACAACAUAAAAGUAAACAAAACUAUAUAGAUUUCUCUUAUUAUUUGUUUACCCAGUUUUCCCAUUUUCUUGAAGAAUCAACCAUUACCAGCUUCGGAGAGUCCUCCAUUAUCUCCAAGAGGAAGCGAUGAGACAAAGGUAAUUCCUCCAAAGUCAUUCUUGUAAAUACAAUAAAUGCUUCGAGUAAAGCAUUCACUUACUCUUAUAACACCAGUCGAAAGUAGGGUAAGCACACUUUUUCAAUGGGUUAGGUUCUAGGAACAUUAAUAUCUCUAGACUAAUGCAAAAUAACACAAUCUAGACACUUUCUUCAUAUAGUUUCAUUCUAGAUGCAAAAUAGCAUUGACUUGAGCACCAAUUCAUACAUAUCUUAUGUCUGAAUGCAUCAUGUUCCGAGGAUUAUUUACGAUCAGUUCAAUCUAUACAGGAAUUGCUUCAACUGCAUCAAGCUUUCAACCAGGAGCUUCUUUCUAAUCAACAGUUGAUAAGAAAUGGGGUAAGAAAUUUUAAGCUCAACCAACAUAACAUCAUAUAAGAAGCCAUAAACAGAUUCAGGAUUCUCCUGAUCACUGUUAUUGUCUAACAGCUCUACUGGAGCAUUAUCAGGAGCAAGAAAGUAGGUAGAUGUUUAAAAGAUCAAAAAGAGAGGAAAAGGCAGGAGAAUAGAGCUCACAAUGCUCAAUUGCACGCAGCAAUAUCUGUGGCAGGGGUUGCAGCUGCAGUGGCUGCCCUUGCAGCCUCAUCAAUGACCUCUCCAGAAAAAGUAGCCGCCCAAACUAAGAAACCUACUGGAAUUGCAUCUGCAGCUGCACUUGUUGCAUCUCACUGCAUAGAAGUUGCAGAAGAUAUGGGAGCUGAUCAUGAACAAAUCCUAUCAGUCGUGAAUUCAGCAAUCAGUGCAAGGACUAAUGGCGAUAUAAUGACACUUACUGCUGGAGCUGCUACAGGUGUAAAUUUAAUUGCUGUCAUAGAUUCCAUGAUCUGAAUCUAAAAAAUCAAUCAAAGUUCACAAAUGGGAACAAAUUUAUUGGUUUUUCUGUAAGUGUAGUUAAGGUAGCUUAAUGAAAGACCAAGACAGAGUACAAAAGACCAAACUCACGUAACCUGACUGGAUAAUUUUUAAUGAGAUUACUAGUUAUUUGUGAUGAAUUGCUGCUCACAAGAAACUACCUCUCAUACAAAGGAAUCAAAAGCUAAUCUAUCAUACUAUAUUCUGAUUUGAUAUUAAUUACUAAUACAGCAUUAAGAGGUGCUGCCACUCUAAGAGCAAGAUUACAUAAGGUGCAUGGACCUGCAAUUGCGCUGAAUGACGAAAAUGUUCAAAUCAGCACAGAAUCAAAUACCUUAGCAGCAUUAGAUUUUGUUACAAGAGGGGAAGAAAUUCUUAAAUGCACAAGGAAAGGUAAUGAUACAGUGAAUGUACUUAUGCACUAACAGAGAGAUUGUAUUAAUUUUUAUGAUAAUAAAAUCAUGGUUUUUACAGGAGAUCUCCACUGGAAGCUAGUCUCAUUCAACAUAAAUUCAAAUUUACAGGUAAAAAUUUUGAACACUGCCAUAUUCUCAUAACAUUCACUUACGCUUCCUGUUGAUGUGGAAGGGAUAGUUGGUUUGGUUCCUUUCCUUAAACCCCCUGGCUUGUAGAUGAUUUGGAUUAAUGCACACCUGCAGGACCAUAAAUGAAUCAAGAGGUAGCAUUGGGUCCUGUGUCUAAUGUCUAUACUUAGGUGUCAAUGCCAUUGUAUGAUACAUUGUUUAUAUUGUUGUGUAAAUAUUGCAAUAUACUGAGCAACAAAAAUGUAUGAAGACUAGUUGAGUUUUCAUUAAUAUUUCUGUCUGAGUUGGUGUUUCUUGGAAAGUUCAAGACUAGGUUACUCUAAGUCUUGGAGAGUUAAUUAUAUUAUCUCUGUUCUGAACCAUAUGGACUUUACCAAAAAUUACCUGCCCAGAAUAAAUAUAAAUACCUUCAUUUUUAGUUCCAUUUUUGUUCAUGAACUGGCUAUUGCUAUGAUUGAAUCAGACUGCUAUAAUGUUGUACAACCAGUGAACAAACCGUCUCUCUAUGCUAUGCAAUUGUAGUACUGCUACCCAAACUAGGUCAUUGACAGGUUUUAAAAAUAGGGGGACACAUGGUGCAGCAUCAUUGGAUAGAUAAGGGGAAAAAAUUAUCCACGUUGGCUGUACCUGUUAAAGCCCGUUUUUAAUCCCCGUCUGAGUAGCAUUACUCGUGCAAUUGAAGGAGUCGUAUGCUUAGAAUUUCAGAUUUAUGUUGUUCUUUUCCUUCUUUAGUAUGCAACUUAAAAACUAGACUUGUCUCUCAAAAGCCGACUCAUUUUUCAAUCAACCGCGGAAUGCAUAAAGGAAUGCGCAUCGCUCAACCCAGUUUCAUGCUGGAGGCGUUUUUGGUGAUCUCGACCGGGGACAACUAGAUCGAAGGAUUGAAGGAGACAUAUGCUUAGAAUUUCAGAUUUAUUUAGGGGGAUGUCCUCAAUUGAGAUUGCAAUUAAUUUUAAAAGUCAUUCUAAAUUUAUGUAUCUUCAAUUGAGAUUUUAUUAAAUUUUAAUUAAAUUCAUUAAAGUUUAGGUGUACCCAAUUGAAAUUUUAAUGAAAUCUUUUAAAAUUUAAGUAUUCUCAGUAAUUAGUGGAUUUAUAAAGAUUUCAUUGAUAGAAAGAUUUUAAAAGAUUUGGAUGGAUUUCAAGUUAAAAAAUACAUAUAAGUAAAUUUUUAAAAAUUUCAUCAUAUUUAAUGAGAUUCUUAUUAAAUUUGUAAGAAUCUAUUUAAAUCCACCAAAUUCAUUAGAAUUUAUAAUUAUUUAAAAUUCAUCAAAAUCUUAGUUGAGAACACUCAUGUAGUUCAUUUCCUUCCUUAGUGUUCUCUUUCGUUGGGCGUGUAACUAACUGUGUUGUUCACACCAUCGCGAAGAACGCUCUCUUAUAUCCCCAUAACUUGGCCUGGUUUGAGGAGUCGUGGAACUUUAAAAUUUCAUCAUAUUUAAUGAGAUUCUUAUUAAAUUUGUAAGAAUCUAUUUAAAUCCACCAAAUUCAUUAGAAUUUAUAAUUAUUUAAAAUUCAUCAAAAUCUUAGUUGAGAACACUCAUGUAGUUCAUUUCCUUCCUUAAUGUUCUCUUUCGUUGGGCGUGUAACUAACUGUGUUGUUCACACCAUCGCGAAGAACGCUCUCUUAUAUCCCCAUAACUUGGCCUGGUUUGAGGAGUCGUGGAACUUGUAAUUCGUGAUAUUGCUGAAAGUUGGAGCUCUUGUCAUUCUUUAUUCUGAACUUGGCCUAUUUUAUUUAGAGGAAACGAGUCCAAUCAAGAUUGUAAUUCAGUGUUAUCUCUAACCAUUUAAAGAUUUAGACGAUACCGUCCCCAAGUAAAAAUCUAUAGUGUUUUAUACUGUGCUUGUGAAAUUACUGCCUACUCUAAUAAAAGGAUAUAUUCUUACGACAUUUUUAAUAAAGUUUGCUUUGAAUCAAGGAACUUUAGUCACUUUUACCAGGGCCUGUGAAACUGCAGAUUCUCCCCUAUACCACUUUUACAAAGAGGUGAGAUGAAAAGAUAACUGAAGCAAAGCACCUCUACAAGUUUCAUCAUUUCAAUCAGUAAAAAAGUUUAUUAAAGUAGACAAGUGCCCAUCCUAACCUACCCUAUAAGCCGAAAAUAGCAUUUGUCAUUAGUGCACAAUUGUUUUCUUAAAACAUGAUUACUUAAAGCAAUAUGAUUUAGGAGAGUCCCACUUUCUUGAUUGCCUAAAAGUUAGAAAACUACAAUAGAUCCUCAAUGUAGAUAAAAAAUAAUCACGCUUUCACUUCAUAUAGUUGCUUGACUUUGAGGGGUUGUUUUUGUUUUGAGUUGUGUUCAAAAGAGUGGUUGUAUACCGAUCAAUGUUAUCAUUUAUUCUAGUCGAAACCCUGUUCUCUAUGGAUCCUUUACCACAUAGUGCACGAUGAUUUUUAUUUUCUCGAUGUGAAUAUCUAUUCAAAGAGUGUAUUUCCCAUUAGCUAGAAUCAAAAUACAGGAGAAUAUGACCAACCUCCCAAUCCCACAAUGUACGGAUGAUAGCAAUGAAUCAAGAAAGUGCACAAUAUGCUCUGACCUUGAUUUUCCCUACUUUUUAGGAGGAGAUGACGAAUCAAAUUUUCAUACACGCACCCACACCCGUAUAGACCUCAGCUUCCUCUUCAGGUUGUAAUACUCGACAUUACCCUCAAUGAUGCAAGCUAGCUAAGAAGCAUGGACACGUACCAGAACACGUGUAGGAGUGUCACGACUACCUAUAUUCUACUUGAGAGAGAUUCUCAAGAGCAUGAUUUCCACUAGAGUCCGGCAACUUAAGACUUGCUAAAUAUACUUUUAAAGUAUAUUCUUGCUGACCGCUGAUUAUAGUUCAGGGAAACAUGUAAUGGAGGGCCCUAUUUUUUGACUUUAAACAGUGAUAAUGGGGAGAAAAAGGAUUCCUUAGUCAUAAUUAAGCCCGCCGCUCAAGAAAUUUAUAGCCUUUUAUGCACAUAUAAAGCGGAAAAAAAAGAAAAAAAGAAAGAAUGGAUAUGGAAAUUAAAGCAGACACUGAGAAAUUGGAAGACAUGAUUUAUCUCAACUUUAUUUGAGACCUUUCAGGUAUAAAGAAAACAAAAAUGUACUUCCACUCAGAAUCAUUCUUUUGAUUUUAUUCACUUAAUAAAUUAGCUUCUUAGUAUAUAAAGAUCAGAUUAUUUCUCCUUCCCUACAUCAUCUUCCUCUGAAGCUUGUUUUCAUCAAGUGGUAUAGACAAAACACAUCAAGAGUAAGUCUAGUGAUCAAAAUUUCAGCUUAAUUACAAUGAGUAAAAGUUGAUAAGCAAGAACCUACCAAGUUAUUUUUGUACUUUAUGACUGUUAACAGUGUUCAAAUGCUCCGGUGGCUCGGAAUUCAAGUCAAAUAGGCUGGAAAACAUUGAGGAAGACAAUGAUGCAAGUUGGCUGCCAGCAAUGUGCCCCCCUCCGGAAACUCCAACAGAGUCCAUGGAGUUCUUGGCUAGAUCAUGGAGUCUGUCUGCAAAGGAACUGUCGAAUGCUCUUUGCCAUGUCCAAGUCGUGAAGCCAUCUUCAUGCUCUCCGGGCGGUUCUGCUCGAGCUGACAAUGGAAGCUCUUUGCUCCCCCUGCAGGAACCUGUACGUAUUUCAAAUUUUAUCAUUCCAAUUUAGUACUCCUGUGAACAGUAAAAGCAUGCUUGAUACAUAGUAUUCAACAAUAUUAAGAGUACAAUAAACAAGAUUUUAGAAUACUAUUGUGUAAUGUCAAAUCUACCUCAAAGAACACAACAUAAAAGUAAACAAAACUAUAUAGAUUUCUCUUAUUAUUUGUUUACCCAGUUUUCCCAUUUUCUUGAAGAAUCAACCAUUACCAGCUUCGGAGAGUCCUCCAUUAUCUCCAAGAGGAAGCGAUGAGACAAAGGUAAUUCCUCCAAAGUCAUUCUUGUAAAUACAAUAAAUGCUUCGAGUAAAGCAUUCACUUACUCUUAUAACACCAGUCGAAAGUAGGGUAAGCACACUUUUUCAAUGGGUUAGGUUCUAGGAACAUUAAUAUCUCUAGACUAAUGCAAAAUAACACAAUCUAGACACUUUCUUCAUAUAGUUUCAUUCUAGAUGCAAAAUAGCAUUGACUUGAGCACCAAUUCAUACAUAUCUUAUGUCUGAAUGCAUCAUGUUCCGAGGAUUAUUUACGAUCAGUUCAAUCUAUACAGGAAUUGCUUCAACUGCAUCAAGCUUUCAACCAGGAGCUUCUUUCUAAUCAACAGUUGAUAAGAAAUGGGGUAAGAAAUUUUAAGCUCAACCAACAUAACAUCAUAUAAGAAGCCAUAAACAGAUUCAGGAUUCUCCUGAUCACUGUUAUUGUCUAACAGCUCUACUGGAGCAUUAUCAGGAGCAAGAAAGUAGGUAGAUGUUUAAAAGAUCAAAAAGAGCGGAAAAGGCAGGAGAAUAGAGCUCACAAUGCUCAAUUGCACGCAGCAAUAUCUGUGGCAGGGGUUGCAGCUGCAGUGGCUGCCCUUGCAGCCUCAUCAAUGACCUCUCCAGAAAAAGUAGCCGCCCAAACUAAGAAACCUACUGGAAUUGCAUCUGCAGCUGCACUUGUUGCAUCUCACUGCAUAGAAGUUGCAGAAGAUAUGGGAGCUGAUCAUGAACAAAUCCUAUCAGUCGUGAAUUCAGCAAUCAGUGCAAGGACUAAUGGCGAUAUAAUGACACUUACUGCUGGAGCUGCUACAGGUGUAAAUUUAAUUGCUGUCAUAGAUUCCAUGAUCUGAAUCUAAAAAAUCAAUCAAAGUUCACAAAUGGGAACAAAUUUAUUGGUUUUUCUGUAAGUGUAGUUAAGGUAGCUUAAUGAAAGACCAAGACAGAGUACAAAAGACCAAACUCACGUAACCUGACUGGAUAAUUUUUAAUGAGAUUACUAGUUAUUUGUGAUGAAUUGCUGCUCACAAGAAACUACCUCUCAUACAAAGGAAUCAAAAGCUAAUCUAUCAUACUAUAUUCUGAUUUGAUAUUAAUUACUAAUACAGCAUUAAGAGGUGCUGCCACUCUAAGAGCAAGAUUACAUAAGGUGCAUGGACCUGCAAUUGCGCUGAAUGACGAAAAUGUUCAAAUCAGCACAGAAUCAAAUACCUUAGCAGCAUUAGAUUUUGUUACAAGAGGGGAAGAAAUUCUUAAAUGCACAAGGAAAGGUAAUGAUACAGUGAAUGUACUUAUGCACUAACAGAGAGAUUGUAUUAAUUUUUAUGAUAAUAAAAUCAUGGUUUUUACAGGAGAUCUCCACUGGAAGCUAGUCUCAUUCAACAUAAAUUCAAAUUUACAGGUAAAAAUUUUGAACACUGCCAUAUUCUCAUAACAUUCAAAAAAUGUUAAUCCUAUAUAAUGAAACAGGUUGUGGCUAAAAUGAAAAGCAAGUACAUGGGAGGAACAUUCACUAAGAAAAAGAAAUGUAAGAAAAAACAAUUUAACUGUAACAGGUGAAGAAUUACUUCAAAUAUCUUCCACUGUAAUCUGAAUUGUCUUUUCCUGGGUGCAGGCAUAGUCUCUGAUGUAUAUUGUGACAUCCCAGCAUGGCCUGGACGUGAGACGGAGAAUAACAAGCAAAUGGCCUAUUUUGCAAUACGAACUGCUGAUAGGAUAAUUGAGUUUGAAUGCAGAAACAAAGGGGACAAACAGAUGUGGGUCGAAGGGAUCCAACAUAUGUUGCAUUUGAGUGUGCGAAUGACAUGAUUUUGAGUUAGAGAAGAUCAAUAAUUGGCAUAAAAAUGGAUCUUUAUUUUUACGAAAAAACUAAACGAUAUGGUAUUCUUCAAAAAUACAAACUGAGCAAAAUAUAAUACAUAAUUAGUUUCAACUUUACAACAGAUAACUAAUGGAUCUACAAUAAACAAUUAUCUAGAAUGUUUCAGCAGAUAAUUCUUGAAAUAGCAAUCUAAUUUAUAGGGAAAUUGGUAAAUGAUGUUCUUGGUAAUAGUUCAGUUGCCCUAAAAACUCUCUUCGGUCACACACCUUGAUAGGUGGUUGCCACUCCGUGUGAAUGGAGUAAAUAUAGUGAUUCUGUCACUCUAGCUCCUUCAAAAAGUCAAUAUUAUCGACGAAUGCCUGCAAGCAAUCGUGAGAUCAUUAAACUAAAAUGUAAAACAUCAAUUAGAAUUUGUGAACCUGUUGACUGAUGGAUAGAUCAAACACUUGAAAUUAAAUUUUGAUAAAUAAGAAAGAGUUGCGAGCUUAGUCUACAAAAUUUAGGAACAAAGACAUUGAUAACACAAAAUUUAAACUUGCACAAAAAAUAACAUUUAAAUAAACUGAAGGCAUACCGUUUUCCAACCAUCAGGAUCCAAGCAUAAUGUGAUUUUAGUAUUUAUCCCUGGCAAGGGUCCAGGUUCACGGAUGAUUUUUCCACCGGAAAGUUUUAUAGCCUCUGCAGUCUUAUAAACAUUAUCUGUACCAAUUGCAAUCUGGUAAAACCAUAACAAGUUUCACAAUGAUAGAACUUUGAUAACCAUAUAAGGAAUAAUUUCCUAAGCAUGUAAUCAGUUACAAGUAAGGUUGAAAAUUUACCUGAAUAUAACCAUUUCCUUUGUCAUAUUCUCUGAUGCCAUAGUUAUAUGUCAAUUCCAGAACUGUAUUUUUAUCUUCAGGACCAUAACCCAUAAUGGCCACAGUAUACUGAAUAUAAUCACCCCCCCCCCCCAACACCCCCCCCAAAAAAAAAAAAAAAAAAAAAAAAAAAAAAAAAAAGAAAAAGCCACAAAAAAAAAAUCGAGGGUCUUCACUUAUUGGAAAAUUGUGGUUAUCGUCUGUAACAUUUUUAUAAUACCUUUGGAACCAAAAGAAAGCAACGUAGCAGAGCAGAGCCACCAGCUACAGCUUACAACUCAGCAACUCCACCUUCAUUUGCUAGGUAAAUUCUCCGUUUUUUCUUUUCCUCACACAGUAGAUUUCUCUAAAACCACUCGUUUUUGUUUACUUCUUUCAAAUUGCACUUUAUUGAAUACCUGACGAGUUGUUUUGUUAAUUAUUACAAAAUCACCCCAUUUGGCUUUUCAGUUAAUUUUGAAAAGGGUUUUUUUUGGGGUUCUUUUGAGUGAGGUAUAUUGGAGGCUAGUAUGUUGUUGAGUGAAUUUCUGUUUAAUUUGUUAUGGCUUUAGGUUCUUCUUCUCUAGAUCGAGCUGUUUUGUUUGCUUUUGAAUUUGUUAAGACUUCAAAUGUGAACAUUCUUCUUUUAAGGAGCUUCUGAGAUCUAUCAAAAUAUAUUUCUUUGGUAUGUUUUUAUUAGUACCAACCCUUUAAUAAUUUAUUAUUGCCUUUUUUUUUUCUUUUUGUGAUGCAGAUAAGGAGCUCAAGUUGUAGAUAUUCGUGCCGCAGAGAAAAAGGAAUGGAAAACUUGAAUCAAAGAGUUUUAAUAUCUCCCUGAUCAGCACUCACAAUAAGAAAUUCAACCCCAAGAUUUUUCCUUUCAAUCGAAAAGAGCUGGUUCUGUUGCUGUUAUCAUUAUGAGUUCUUCAAUUGAUUGAGAUUUUGGACUCUUUAAUAUAGUGACGAUGAUGGGAUAAUAAUUUAAGUUCCUUCCACGGAUUUGAGCUUAAUACAAUAAAUCCCACUUGGAAUUUCUUCACUGCUACUACUGCAAAUAAGUUACUGCAGGGGAACUAUCCUAUCUACAAUGGCUGGGAAUUGAAUCCCAUCUCUCGGGGAGAGGCUGCUUCUAUUUCAAGCUAAAAUGAUUGACCAGUUUAUUAAUUUUGUCAUUCGCCCACCCAGGUACAUUUAUCUAUGAAACUUGUUCUCUAAUUUUUGAAUCUUUUUCAGUAGUGCUGUUUGAGUUUUUAUUCUGUACUGUCAAGGAUAAACUGAGUUGUCAUGACCUUAAGUGAUUGCAGAACUAACAAAGUCACAUUUGAAUUAGUAUCAUAUUCAUGCCAAAUCACCUUGCACAGGUCACACUGGCUUUGUUCCUUUCCUUUUCAGAAUUAUAGAUAAUAAUGUCAUGGAACUUCCUUUAAAAUGGGAAGAUAAAUAUUGGAUAAAUGAAAUUGUAAAUUUUGAAGACAUUAUUUAAAUAAUGUUUAUGAUGAUCAACACGGUAUCAUAUAACACAAAGGUCCGUCUCGCCACCAUCCAGUUAAAUUAAAUUUUACACGUGUUGGGAAAAGUAAGCCCCACCUGCAUGUGAGAGAUGUGUUGAAGAUAAUAUUUUAAUUAUAUAAACGUGGCCUUCUGUAACCUCAAGUUUCAAGAUCAAAUGGUUCAACAAUUACAGAAUUUGAUUAUAUAUAAUAGCUUCCACGUUGACUCUGUAGAGCAGAAUGUAGGAGAGGAGAGUAGAAAUAUCAGCAUAGGAAAAGUUAAUUGUGUUCCUGGUGGAGUAGUUUUCUCUAUUUGACACGGACAAGUUCUUACUUGUGUGUUUAAUUUAAUUUCAUGGUUAUCCUAUAGUAUUCUUCAAAAGUCUG